GCCCGGCUAGCUCAGUCGGUAGAGCAUGA
rnacentral:piRNA from 14 species